rnacentral:rRNA from 1 species
UCUUGACCGGGUUGACCUCGGAUCAGGUAGGGAUACCCGCUGAACUUAAGCAUAUCAAU